rnacentral:rRNA from 1 species
GAUGAACGCUGGCGGCGUGCCUAAUACAUGCAAGUCGAGCGGACCAAAGAGAGCUUGCUCUCUGAGGUUAGCGGCGGACGGGUGAGUAACACGUGGGUAACCUGCCUGUAAGACGGGGAUAACUUCGGGAAACCGAAGCUAAUACCGGAUGAUAAAGAGAAACGCCUGUUUCUCUUUUGAAAGUCGGCCUUGUGCUGACGCUUACAGAUGGGCCCGCGGCUCAUUAGCUAGUUGGUGAGGUAACGGCUCACCAAGGCGACGGUGCGUAGCCGACCGGAGGAGGUGAUGGGCCACACUGGGACUGAGACACGGCCCAGACUCCUACGGGAGGCAACAGUAGGGAAUCUUCGGCAAUGGACGAAAGUCUGACCGAGCAACGCCGCGUGAGCGAUGAAGGCCUUCGGGUCGUAAAGCUCUGUUGUCAGAGAAGAACAAGUACCGGAGUAACUGCCGGUACCUUGACGGUACCUGACCAGAAAGCCACGGCUAACUACGUGCCAGCCGCCGCGGUAA